UCCGUUUGAUCCUGACGGACCUGACUGCUAUCAGAUUGAUACUAAGCCAUGUUAGUUAUUGUAGUAAUACAAGGCAGACGGCUCAGUAACACGUAGUCAACCUAACUUAUGGACGGGGAUAACCUCGGGAAACUGAGAAUAAUACCCGAUAGGUCAUGAUGCCUGGAAUGGUUUAUGACUCAAAUAAUUUAUUGCCGUAGGAUGGGACUGCGAGCUAUCAGCUUGUUGGUGAGGUAAUGGCCCACCAAGGCUAUUACAGCUACGGGCUCUGAGAGGAGUAGCCCGGAGAUGGGUACUGAGACAAGGACCCAGGCCCUAUGGGGCGCAGCAGGCGAGAAAACUUUGCAAUGCGCGAAAGCUCGACAAGGUUAAUCUGAGUGGUUCCUGCUAAAGGAACCUUUUGUUAGUCGUAGAACCACUGAUGAAUAAGGGGUGGGCAAGUUCUGGUGUCAGCCGCCGCGGUAAAACCAGCACCUCAAGUGGUCAGGAUGAUUAUUGGGCCUAAAGCAUCCGUAGCCUGUUCUGUAAGUUUUCGGUUAAAUCCAUAAGCUCAACUUAUGGGCUGCCGAAAAUACUGCAGAACUAGGGAGUGGGAGAGGUAGACGGUACUCGGUAGGAAGGGGUAAAAUCCUUUGAUCUAUUGAUGACCACCUGUGGCGAAGGCGGUCUACCAGAACACGUUCGACGGUGAGGGAUGAAAGCUGGGGGAGCAAACCGGAUUAGAUACCCGGGUAGUCCCAGCUGUAAACGAUGCAAACUCGAUGAUGCGUUGGCUUGUUGCUAGCGCAGUGUCGCAGGGAAGCCGUUAAGUUUGCCGCCUGGGAAGUACGUACGCAAGUAUGAAACUUAAAGGAAUUGGCGGGGGAGCACCACAAGGGGUGAAGCCUGCGGUUCAAUUGGAGUCAACGCCUGAAACCUUACCCGGAGAGACAGCAGAAUGAAGGUCAAGCUGAAGACUUUACCAGACAAGCUGAGAGGUGGUGCAUGGCCGUCGCCAGCUCGUGCCGUGAGAUGUCCUGUUAAGUCAGGUAACGAGCGAGAUCCCUGCCUCUAGUUGCCACUAUUACACCCUGGUGUAGUAGGGCGAAUUAGGGGGACCGCCGCAGUUAAUGCGGAGGAAGGAAGGGGCCACGGCAGGUCAGUAUGCCCCGAAACUCUGGGGCCACACGCGGGCUGCAAUGGU
rnacentral:rRNA from 1 species